CAAAUCAGAGGGCACAGACAACAGUCAUUCAGUGAAAAGGGUAAAGAACAUAAUUUGUCAGCCGAGUCCAGAAUUUUACACAUAUCUUAUGUAUUUGUCUACAAUUGUAAGCCCCGAGCUAAAGGAAUUUCUUAUGUGGAUUCAAAAUUACUUCAAGGCUUUACUGUCUCAAGUGCUCUCUGCAUCCUGUCUGUUCCUGGUUAGUUGGUCAAGUAUGAUCUUUAAAGAGCACUGAGGUGAUUCAUGGGUUCUCCCUCAAAUCCAGUGAGGAUGGAAAGCUAUACGGGAAAAUUUAAAACUAAAGUAAAUAUGUUCAAUCCAGAGAUAAAGUGCAAGUCUAAACUGAAAUAACUACCCAUAGUAUCCGUUAGAAUGGCACCAUUUAAGAAAAUGAACUCUGGGGGCCGGUAGAAGAGAUGGCUCUUUGGUUAAGAACAAUGGCGAUUGCAGAGGACCCAGGUUCAGGUCCCAGGACUCAUGGUGGCUUAUAACCAUUCCUUCCUAACUCCAGUUUCAGGGGAUCCAGUGCCCUCUUCUGUCUUCCAUGGGGACCAGGCAUGCAUGUAAGGCACAUGCAUACAGGGCCAAGGAGAUAGGGAAGAAAACUCUUAACAGCCACUGGCUCAGCAAACACCAACUGGUUAAGCAAAAGAGGCACCAAUCUUGAAGCUAUUAAUUCUUCUGACAAGCAGCUCACUCUGUCCAGCAGAAAUCUG